UAAGGAAUAUUGGUCAAUGGACGCAAGUCUGAACCAGCCAUGCCGCGUGAAGGAUGAAGGUCCUCUGGAUUGUAAACUUCUUUUAUCUGGGACGAAAACGGGAUUUUUAUCUCAAUUGACGGUACCAGAGGAAUAAGCACCGGCUAACUCCGUGCCAGCAGCCGCGGUAAUACGGAGGGUGCGAGCGUUAUCCGGAUUUACUGGGGUUAAAGGGUGCGUAGGUGGGCUUAUAAGUCAGUGGUGAAAUCUCCGAGCUUAACUUGGAAACUGCCGUUGAUACUAUAGGUCUUGAAUUAUCUGGAGGUAAGCGGAAUAUGUCAUGUAGCGGUGAAAUGCUUAGAUAUGACAUAGAACACCAAUUGCGAAGGCAGCUUACUACAUAUAAAUUGACGCUGAGGCACGAAAGCGUGGGGAUCAAACA
rnacentral:rRNA from 1 species